rnacentral:rRNA from 1 species
UACGAAGGGGGCUAGCGUUGCUCGGAAUUACUGGGCGUAAAGGGCGCGUAGGCGGCACUGUUAGUCAGGCGUGAAAUUCCUGGGCUCAACCUGGGGACUGCGCUUGAUACGGCAGAGCUAGAGGAUGGAAGAGGCUCGCGGAAUUCCCAGUGUAGAGGUGAAAUUCGUAGAUAUUGGGAAGAGCACCGGUGGCGAAGGCGGCGAGCUGGUCCAUUACUGACGCUGAGGCGCGACAGCGUGGGGAGCAAACAGG